ACGAUGCGGCACUGAUGGCCUUCUUCUGGCCCUGACAACAUGGAUGUGAGCCUGAAGUGGCCCACAUGUAUAACAGCAAAUAUGGCCCAAAUAUGCCAAAUCAAAUGUGGGCCUUUUUUGGCAAAGAUGCGGUGCUCUCGGCAACAUGUGAUGUGGAUGUGACCCUGAAGUGGCCCGUGUGGUAAAUGAGUCCCUGGCACCGAGGGAGCGUGCAUCUAAAUCAUCUGUCCUGCCGGUAUGUUCCCCCUCUCUCCACACUGCUGUUGGAUUAGAUCCAUAUUAGUCAAGCAGGAAACUUCUUGCUAUGUGUAAUUAUACUUCAUGCUGAGUUUCUCGGUCAUGCAACCGCUGUACACUGGAAAUCCUCGGGGCAUCAGGAAACCCAUUUUCCUUCCAUUCUUCUCCUGGAGUCUAGAUUUGGUCUGAAUACGUUUCAUAUACUUGAAAAAUGGGGGAGGAGUUCGGACAUCCGGAGGGAGCUCGGAGUAGAGCCACUGCUUCUUCGUGUCCCAAGGAGCCAGUUGAGGUGGUUCGGGCAUCUAAUUAGGAUGCCUCCUGGGCGCCUUCCUUUGGAGGUUUUCCGGGCACGUCCAACUGUGAGGAGACCCCGGUGGUAGACCCAGAACUCGCUGGAGGGACUACAUGUCCACGCUGGCCCGGGAACGUCUUGGGGUCCCCCAGGAGGAGCUGGAGGGCGUUGCUGGGGAGAGGGACGUCUGGCGAGCCCUACUUAGCUUGCUGCCACCGCGACCCAGGUUUUGCUCACACUUUUUUGUUUGAUGGCUGGGAGAGCUGGUGUUGGGUCGACGGGGAGAGCCUGGUCUGCUGCAUCCUGUGAGCCCAGGGACCACGGCCCUGCCUGGAGCUGCGCCCGAAGAGGAAACACCAAGGGCGGUCUGACAGGACGCGGAAGCUGGCAGGAUAAGCUAAUUGCUAGCCCAUGCAGACCGGCAGUUCCGACAGUCAUCCUGGUGUUCACUCUCAUUGUGUGAAUGUGAAUGUGUCGGACAGAGAUUUAUAUAUAUAUAUAUAUACACACACA